UGGGUAGCCUGCGAACAGGCUCUCAAGCUGAAUUGAGAGCCUGCAUCGAUGACUGAUGAAUUUGAAUAUCUGCCCCGUAACGUUCGUUUUUCCAAAUAUGGAAUGUCUAUCCUUAUAUGGUGUUGUUUACAACUUUCGUGCAAACUAAAUUUAGACCGUGCAAACUAAAUUACAGUUUAUACAGUCUCUCGAAAUAUAAGACAUUCAAGCAAAAGUUUAAAUGUUUUAAAUACUGUUUUCUCAAAACAGAACAUUUCGUGCUUUGAGAUAAGAUGGCCAAGACCAAUUUGAUCAGUUAAUGUGUUUUUAUGCAUAGUGCUUGCAG